rnacentral:rRNA from 1 species
CUACGGGGUGCAGCAGUGAGGAAUAUUGGUCAAUGGGCGCAAGCCUGAACCAGCCAUGCCGCGUGAAGGAUGACAGCGCUACGCGUUGUAAACUUCUUUUGUACAGGAAGAAACGCUUCUACGUGUAGAAGUUUGACGGUACUGUACGAAUAAGCAUCGGCUAACUCCGUGCCAGCAGCCGCGGUAAUACGGAGGAUGCAAGCGUUAUCCGGAUUUAUUGGGUUUAAAGGGUACGUAGGCGGAAAAUUAAGUCAGUAGUGAAAUCCCGCAGCUUAACUGUGGAACUGUUAUUGAUACUGGUUUUCUUGAAUGUAGUUGAAGUAGGCGGAAUGUGUAAUGUAGCGGUGAAAUGCUUAGAUAUUACACAGAACACCGAUUGCGAAGGCAGCUUACUAAGCUAUGAUUGACGCUGAGGUACGAAAGCGUGGGGAGCGAACAGGAUUAGAUACCCCUGUAGUC